UACGGAGGAUGCGAGCGUUAUCCGGAUUUAUUGGGUUUAAAGGGUGCGUAGGCGGGUUAUCAAGUCAGCGGUAAAAUCGUGGAGCUCGACUCCAUCCAGCCGUUGAAACUGAUGAUCUUGAGUGGGCGAGAAGUAUGCGGAAUGCGUGGUGUAGCGGUGAAAUGCAUAGAUAUCACGCAGAACUCCGAUUGCGAAGGCAGCAUACCGGCGCCCGACUGACGCUGAAGCACGAGAGCGUGGGUAUCGAACAGG
rnacentral:rRNA from 1 species